CCUGGUAGUGGGGAUAACGUUCGGAAACGGACGCUAAUACCGCAUACGUCCUACGGGAGAAAGCAGGGGACCUCGGGCCUUGCGCUAUCAGAUGAGCCUAGGUCGGAUUAGCUAGUUGGUGGGGUAAUGGCUCACCAAGGCGACGAUCCGUAACUGGUCUGAGAGGAUGAUCAGUCACACUGGAACUGAGACACGGUCCAGACUCCUACGGGAGGCAGCAGUGGGGAAUAUUGGACAAUGGGCGAAAGCCUGAUCCAGCCAUGCCGCGUGUGUGAAGAAGGUCUUCGGAUUGUAAAGCACUUUAAGUUGGGAGGAAGGGCAGUAAAUUAAUACUUUGCUGUUUUGACGUUACCGACAGAAUAAGCACCGGCUAACUCUGUGCCAGCAGCCGCGGUAAUACAGAGGGUGCAAGCGUUAAUCGGAAUUACUGGGCGUAAAGCGCGCGUAGGUGGUUCGUUAAGUUGGAUGUGAAAUCCCCGGGCUCAACCUGGGAACUGCAUUCAAAACUGACGAGCUAGAGUAUGGUAGAGGGUGGUGGAAUUUCCUGUGUAGCGGUGAAAUGCGUAGAUUUAGGAAGGAACACCAGUGGCGAAGGCGACCACCUGGACUGAUACUGACACUGAGGUGCGAAAGCGUGGGGAGCAAAC
rnacentral:rRNA from 1 species